rnacentral:lncRNA from 1 species
UGGAAGGUACGAGAAAAAUACUGAAAUUUUUAGUUUUUUUACGGCUAAUUAAAAAGAACAUUUCGGCCAAAGUGAGCGACAUGGCUUGAUACCGAAUCGCGCAUUCGAAAGAGCGCACUUUCUUCUCAGGAUGAGAAAAGUUUUGCUUUUAAGCCUUCAUCAGGCAGGUGGCGACUCAAAUUUAAAAGUGACUGUGCAUAAAUUGUGUCAAAAUUUCCAAAAAAUUUAGCAGCAAGGGCACACAUUUAUCUGUAGAUUUUGAAAGUUUCGUCUUUCUGCGAUAUUAUUGGGAACGAUUUCAGAAAUCUUCCAACUUGGGCUGCGAGUGUUUCUUCGUAAAUUGCACUUCGAAAAUGUAUUUCUGCUAAACUAAGCAAGAUUAAGCUAACUGGACGGUUUGAGUAUGAAAGUUCCGUAUUCGCAUCAUCAUUACGAAUAAAAUGGGAGCAAAAGUUUAUUAAUCAAUUUCUGCGAAUCUACUGGCGAUGGAACGAUGCCAAGUCAUUCACAUGACAUCCUAACGUGUCUAAUGUAGAUGUUGAUCCAAACCCUUCGGGCACGACACUGGUUUGAACCCAAAAAAACACUCUCAACUGGCUCCUUGCCAGGUUUUUUCAAAAGCCAGUGCCCGAAGGGCUCGGCACAACAAAUACGGUAGAAAAUUCGGGCUGUUAAAGUUGUGCCAAGCCCCUCGGGCACGACACUGGUUUACACCUAAAAAUACUCUGAUUUAAGCCUGGGUAAAUUAGUGAAUUUUCGGAAGAUGGGGCAGUGCAUGUGUUAUAACUCAUUAACUCAGAGAACGGCAACAACUCAACACAGUGUUAACCAGGCCUAGUGGCCAGUACAAAUGGCAAAAUUUUUCUAUGACCUUAUGAAAAAGACACAUGUUUCUUGUUGAAAAACUGCCACUGUUUCCUUUAUUAAAAUUUUGAUAUGGCAAAUCCUAUUUGUGGACAAUUUUUAAUUACAACCACUUAUUUCCUGAGAAUCAGAUGCAAAAUGCAGAUUCAUAUUGCAGUGCAACAGUACCAUAAAUAGCAACAAGAUUGUCACGUUUUCUACUUACUAAACACAAACAUCUUGCUCGUCGACAUGUAAAAGUUGUUCCAAACUGACUUAAAUACGUUUACGUUUUUUUAAUUAAUGUCUUUUCCUAUAGGCAAACAAUUGUGUUUAUUUAAGCAAUAAAACACAGUUGUUAAAAGUUGUGAUUUUUCUGCGGUUUUCAUCAUCAAAUUAUCCCUGAAAAAACUUCUGCGUUUACAUCUUUAUUUAGCCGUUCUGCUCUCUAUGGCGUUCUACUAAACAUCCCUGGUAGCAAUUUGCAGGUAAAAAGUUAGCUCCACUUUACAGCCGUUUCAAGCUACACUGUACCCAAGUUAUGUAAACAGUCAUAAAAUUAUCCGCACAAUAUACUACAUACAAUAGCUACAGAUUUGGUACAAUUAAGUUUAAUUAUAUUGAGUUACGUGGGUUCGGCCAUAGACUAAUUUACUUUUAAUAUAAUCAGGGUAAUUUAGAAAUGUACUUUCGGUUUUAUAGCAAUAGCCAUACUUUUAUCAAGCGGCUCCCUACUUUACUUAUACGACAAACAUACAUGUUGGUGAACCAAUGGUUGGUUUAUAAUUUUAAUUUCAGAAGAAAAUUGCAAAUUAAACGAUAUUGAGCAACAGUGCAGCGCGUUUUAUUGUGGAAACCCCGAUUAAUCUGCAAUUGUUAUUAGCGAUGUAACAUAACAUUGUUUUAAUCUUAGUUCUCUACCUUUCAAUAAAUGUUCUUAUGAUGAAUCGAUAAUAAUCUUUCUAGUAUCAACCAUGGAAGAGUUAAGUGCAGUCAAUCUUCUAGUUUCAGCGAAUGGAAAAAUGUUGCUAUCACCUAUAAGUGAAUGCGACCAAUCUAAAGCUGCAAACGGAAAAUUAAGUUCGUUUUCUAAAUCAUGCAUCGAUAUUCCGCUACUUAAUCAACUUCUGGCCGAAUCAACGUUAAAUGAAGACCUCAAGCGAUCGCCUCAUUUCAAGUAUGCUGAUGGAUAUCUGAAUAUGGCGUUCCUGGAUAUAGACGG